CUUUGGACUCAUGCCGCACCUUUUGCGCCUCGUCGCGAUCAUUUGCCGCCUGGAGAAGCAGCGCGUCGUUGUUCUCGGUCCACUCCUCCGGGGAGUACUUGGUGCACCGAUACCCCGAAGUAGAAAAGCCGGCGGACGGUUGCCAGGAUCCCGCGUUACCAAGGACGCGAUACGGUUGCCCAGCGGUCCGAUAGCCGUCCGUCCAUCCAUCCAUCCAUCCAUCCAUCCACUGGUGUAUUAAACUUUAAAAAUGUUUAAAAAUGUUAUCUACAGAUGCACACGCGGGAAUAUUACUUCAAUAAACGUGUUUAUCGCU